AGUGAACGCUGGCGGUAGGCCUGACACAUGCAAGUCGAACGGCAGCACAGUAAGAGCUUGCUCUUACGGGUGGCGAGUGGCGGACGGGUGAGGAAUACAUCGGAAUCUACUUUUUCGUGGGGGAUAACGUAGGGAAACUUACGCUAAUACCGCAUACGACCUACGGGUGAAAGCAGGGGAUCUUCGGACCUUUCGCGAUUGAAUGAGCCGAUGUCGGAUUAGCUAGUUGGCGGGGUAAAGGCCCACCAAGGCGACGAUCCGUAGCUGGUCUGAGAGGAUGAUCAGCCACACUGGAACUGAGACACGGUCCAGACUCCUACGGGAGGUAGCAGUGGGGAAUAUUGGACAAUGGGCGGAAGCCUGAUCCAGCCAUACCGCGUGGGUGAAGAAGGCCUUCGGGUUGUAAAGCCCUUUUGUUGGGAAAGAAAAGCAGCAGGUUAAUACCCCGCUGUUCUGACGGUACCCAAAGAAUAAGCACCGGCUAACUUCGUG
rnacentral:rRNA from 1 species